CACCGCCCGUCACACCAUGGGAGUCGGUUUCACCCGAAGGCAGUGCGCUAACCGCAAGGAGGCAGCUGACCACGGUGGGAUCAGCGACUGGGGUG
rnacentral:rRNA from 1 species